GGGAUCCAAGGAUUGAGAGACAUCAGACCGCUGCAACCAAGGAGAGCAAUUCUUUGUCACUUCAGACUGCAACUUAGAUAUGCAGAAUCAAACCUUUUACCUUUGUCUUGCCUUUGGCUUUGGGAUCACCCAGCCAGACAUGAAGCAAAAGAUAACAGUUAUGGCAAAGCCAGUUGCAGCUCCUAUCCCAAACUGCAAGCCCAUAAUAGUCAUUUUCUCAGUGGGAGGCCGAGUAGCGGGAGGAAGUGGUGCAGGAGGAGGACGUUGGGCAAGUUGACAUGAAGUAAAAACCCCACCACCAUAUAGAUCAUUGUUCCCCUCAAAGCUUGAACAUGGAAAGGUCAAGAAUUGGCCUCCUGUUGGGAUUUCCCCAUAAAGUUGAUUGUCUGCUAUACUGAACUUGGAUAGAAAGCUGAGCUUUACCAAUGAACUGGGUAUUUCUCCGGAUAAUUUGUUAUGAGACAAAUCCAAAAUUUCUAAACUUGACAUUCUAGAUAAAUCAUCUGGAAUUGGCCCGGAAAGCUCGUUUGUGCUGAAGUUUAAAAAAUGAAGUCCUUUCAAGUUCCCAAAACUUGGCCAAAUUGGUCCAUUCAGCUUGUUGCGACUUAGAUCCAAAGUUGGUGGAAGGCUCCCAAUUUUUUUAUACUGCAAACUUCCACCAGAUCCCCCAGUCUUCUUGUAUAGAGGUAUGCCUGUGGCAUUGCCAUCAAUUAAAUUAUUCCUAUUUGUAAGGGUCUGUAGUCCUGUCAAGCUUAUUGGUAUUUCACCAGUGAACAAGUUGUUGGACAAAUCCAAGUAAAAGAGACUAUUGAAAUUGCCUAGCCAGGAUGGCACUGUUUCGCCCAAAAGAUUCCAAGAGAGAACUAAUAACUGCAGCAUUUUGCAACCCCUCAGCCA
rnacentral:misc_RNA from 1 species